rnacentral:rRNA from 1 species
UGGGGAAUAUUGGGCAAUGGGCGAAAGCCUGACCCAGCGACGCCGCGUGGGUGAUGAAGGCCUUCGGGUUGUAAAGCCCUUUCGUGCGGAAAGAACAGCCCUGUAGUUAAUACCUGCAGGGUUUGACGGUACCGCAGGAAGAAGCACCGGCUAACUCCGUGCCAGCAGCCGCGGUAAUACGGAGGGUGCAAGCGUUGUUCGGAAUUAUUGGGCGUAAAGGGCGCGUAGGUGGUUGUGAUAGUCAGAUGUGAAAUCCUUUGGCUUAACUAAAGAACUGCAUGUGAAAGUUCGAAAGUAGAGGAAAGGAGGGGGAAGCGGAAUUGCCGGUGGAGAGGUGAAAAUCGUAGAUAACGGGAGGAACACCAGGGGCGAAGGCGGUUUCCUGGCCUGAUACUGACACUGAGGCGCGAAAGCGUGGGGGG